GUAGGUGACAAGCGUUGUCCGGAUUUACUGGGCGUAAAGAGCGCGCAGGCGGUCGUUCAAGUCGAAUGUGAAAGCCCCCGGCUCAACUGGGGAGGGUCAUUCGAUACUGAUCGACUCGAAGGCAGGAGAGGGUAGUGGAAUUCCCGGUGUAGUGGUGAAAUGCGUAGAUAUCGGGAGGAACACCAGUGGCGAAGGCGACUACCUGGCCUGUUCUUGACGCUGAGGCGCGAAAGCUAGGGGAGCAAACGGGAUUAGAUACCCCGGUAGUCCUAGCCGUAAACGAUGGACACUAGGUGUUGGUGGUAUCAACCCCGCCAGUGCCGUAGCUAACGCAUUAAGUGUCCCGCCUGGGGAGUACGGCCGCAAGGCUA
rnacentral:rRNA from 1 species